rnacentral:tRNA from 1 species
GCCAGUGUUUCUCAGUGGUUAGAGCAUCAGCCAGCACACCGAAGGGUCAAGGGUUUGAUUCCCCUCACAGGCA